CUUUGUCCUCUGGAAUCUCAUCCCUUUGUUGUUACCCUCUAACCAAUCAACGUGCAGCCUUACCCGGGAACGCCCAUAAUCAUCGAGAGCCAGCCAAUCAAAUGAAUUUCUGCAGCAGGACUCCAUUUUGUUGGGUUAUAUGUGCAGUGGACGGGGCGUCCCGCGGCCGCUGGCUGGAACCUGUUGCUUCGCAGUUCCGUGUUGUGCAAUGGACGGGUGAAUCUUCGUGCUUUGUCAAGACUCCUUUGCCCUCAGGGGUCCUCCUCCUCCUCCCCUCGCUGGAUUCCAGUUGAUCAGCCGGUUUCUGGCUGACUUCAGCCGCUG
rnacentral:lncRNA from 1 species